UAUUUUAGGAAUAGUUUUUCUUGUUGUUUAUCUUUUGGUAGACUACAAGGGGAAUUAUUACUAGAAUAGUAAUUGUUCUUGGAAGAGCCAUUCCAUAUUCCCAACGUUUUCAACGCCGGUGUGGCAGCUUCUCGUUAAGUAAUGUUGAAUAUUGUUGAACAAACGGAUUGGUACACCCACAAAAAAUACAUAUUACUAUAUUUGUUGAAAAAAA
rnacentral:sRNA from 1 species